rnacentral:rRNA from 1 species
GAUGAACGCUGGCGGCGUGCCUAAUACAUGCAAGUCGAGCGAACGGACGAGAAGCUUGCUUCUCUGAUGUUAGCGGCGGACGGGUGAGUAACACGUGGAUAACCUACCUAUAAGACUGGGAUAACUUCGGGAAACCGGCGCUAAUACCGGAUAAUAUUUUGAACCGCAUGGUUCAAAAGUGAAAGACGGUCUUGCUGUCACUUAUAGAUGGAUCCGCGCUGCAUUAGCUAGUUGGUAAGGUAACGGCUUACCAAGGCAACGAUGCCUAACCGACCUGAGAGGGUGAUCGGCCACACGGGAGCGGAGACACGGUCCAGAGUCCUACGGGAGGCAGCAGUAGGGAAUCUUCCGCAAUGGGCGAAAGCCUGACGGAGCAACGCCGCGUGAGUGAUGAAGGUCUUCGGAUCGUAAAACUCUGUUAUUAGGGAAGAACAUAUGUGUAAGUAACUGUGCACAUCUUGACGGUACCUAAUCAGAAAGCCACGGCUAACUACGUG